UGAAAACAAUUUCUUCUUUAUUUCUCAGACAAUAAGUUUGUUCAUCUUUAUUUAAUUUACACAUCUAUGUUGAAAAAAAACACUACUGACUAUAGUGUAAAAGAUAUCACAUUAACAAAAAAAAAAGGUAAUGUUAAAAAAAUAAAAUAAAAUUAUGAAAACAAAAAUGUGGAGCAAUGUCAUGGCUUGUAAACAAAUUGGAAUCUUUUGAAACUCAACUUUAUAGUCACGUACAAAAUUGAACUUCUAUGUCAGGGACUAUACUUUCCAGUAACUGACUUUCAGAGCAAGAAGUCAGAGGCAAAGGGCAAGGGAUAUCACAAGUACUGGACUUAGAGGCAAAGAAGAUUACAGACAUUGACUUAAGGACAAAGGAAAUUACAGGUACCAGUACUGGAUUAAAGGGCAAGGGAGAUCACCUGUAGGCCAACUGGAUUGAGAAACAAGGGAGAUCACCUGUAGGCCAACUGGAUUGAGGAACAAAGGAGAUCU